CAGAACAUAGUUUAAUGAGAAUUUUGGCUUUGGGAGCCAUAGGCGGAGGUUAAAGCCCUUCUGUUCUGA
rnacentral:tRNA from 1 species